AACGAACGCUGGCGGCAUGCCUAACACAUGCAAGUCGAACGAUGCCUUCGGGCAUAGUGGCGCACGGGUGCGUAACGCGUGGGAAUCUGCCUUUCGGUUCGGAAUAACUCAGGGAAACUUGAGCUAAUACCGGAUAACGUCGCAAGACCAAAGAUUUAUCACCGAAAGAUGAGCCCGCGUAGGAUUAGCUAGUUGGUGAGGUAAAGGCUCACCAAGGCGACGAUCCUUAGCUGGUCUGAGAGGAUGAUCAGCCACACUGGGACUGAGACACGGCCCAGACUCCUACGGGAGGCAGCAGUGGGGAAUAUUGGACAAUGGGCGAAAGCCUGAUCCAGCAAUGCCGCGUGAGUGAUGAAGGCCUUAGGGUUGUAAAGCUCCUUUACCCGGGAAGAUAAUGACGGUACCGGGAGAAUAAGCCCCGGCUAACUCCGUG
rnacentral:rRNA from 1 species